GCCUUCGUAAUGUAGUGGUCAGCACGCUCGAGCGUAACCGAGAGGUCCGUAGUUCGAUUCCCGGCGAAGGCG
rfam:Stegodyphus mimosarum contig52784, whole genome shotgun sequence.